UACUAGGAGAAUUUGCGAGGGUCAC
rnacentral:piRNA from 1 species